rnacentral:rRNA from 1 species
UGGGGGAUAUUGCACAAUGGGCGAAAGCCUGAUGCAGCGACGCCGCGUGGGGGAUGAAGGCUUUCGGGUUGUAAACCUCUUUCGCUAUCGAACAAGGCCCGCUUAGGGUGGGUUGUGGGUAGGUGGAGAAGAAGCGCCGGCUAACUACGUGCCAGCAGCCGCGGUAAUACGUAGGGCGCGAGCGUUGUCCGGAAUUAUUGGGCGUACAGGGCUUGUAGGCGGCUUGUUGCGCCUGCUGUGGAAACGGGGGGCUUAACUUGGCGCGUGCAGUGGGUGCGGGCAGGCUUGAGUGUGGUAGGGGUGACUGGAAUUCCAGGUGUAGCGGUGGAAUGCGCAGAUAUCUGGAGGAAAACCGAUGGCGAAGGCAGGUCACUGGGCCAUUACUGACGAUGAGAAGAGAAAGAAUGAGUAACGAACAGG